rnacentral:rRNA from 1 species
GACGAACGCUGGCGGCGUGCCUAACACAUGCAAGUCGAACGGAGUUCCCCUUCGGGGGGACUUAGUGGCGAACGGGUGAGUAACGCGUGAGAAACCUGCCUUCUAGUGGGGGACAACAGUUGGAAACGACUGCUAAUACCGCAUAACACUAUAGUACCGCAUGGUACAUUAGUCAAAGCUUUAUGUGCUAGAAGAUGGUCUCGCGUCUGAUUAGCUAGAUGGCGGGGUAACGGCCCACCAUGGCGACGAUCAGUAGCCGGUCUGAGAGGAUGAACGGCCACAUUGGGACUGAGAUACGGCCCAGACUCCUACGGGAGGCAGCAGUGGGGAAUAUUGGGCAAUGGGGGAAACCCUGACCCAGCAACGCCGCGUGAAGGAAGAAGGCCUUCGGGUUGUAAACUUCUUUUACCAGGGACGAAGAACGUGACGGUACCUGGAGAAAAAGCAACGGCUAACUACGUGCCAGCAGCCGCGGUAAUAC